rnacentral:tRNA from 1 species
CUGAGGAUAUCGCUCAGUGAUAGAGCACUUGCCUAGUGUGCAUGAGGUCCUGGGUUCAAUCCCCAGCACUAAGU